GAGCUACAACAAUCUGUGAGUCUUGGCUUCAGAUCUGUGCAAAGAACCAUGUGCCUAAAAAGCCAACAAAAGAUCCUGCUGCUGGGGGCUCUGACGACUGGGCUUACGACCAAGGAAUCAGAUAUUCCUUCACCUUUGAACUUCGAGAUACAGGCAGAUAUGGCUUUCUCCUUCCAGAAUCCCAGAUCCGGGCUACCUGCGAGGAGACCUUCCUGGCAAUCAAGUAUGUUGCCAGCUACGUCCUGGAACACCUGUACUAGUUGAGAAAGCUGAUGGCCUUGUUUCAAAAUUCUCAUUUUUCAUUUCUUUUCUUUCUUGAAUUCUUAUUUUGGUUUGCCUGGAUGUUUUGCAGAUCCCAAUCUUUCUUUUAAGCUUCUGGGUCUAUUAAACUAGGUAGAUCUUUUCGUAUUGAUCAUAAUAAAAGUGAAUCAUUACCAUUGG
rnacentral:sRNA from 1 species